rnacentral:lncRNA from 1 species
GACAAACACGGAAUGACUCUCACUAAUUAAACACAAUCUAUUAUUCUUUCAGGACCCUUCCCUGAUGACCUAAGGCUCACUGCCAUCACUUCCCCCAAGGAUGCUGAGACCGGUCCAGUUUCUGUGAAUAAAUAAUUUGCUGUUGUUUUUCUUUCCCUUUAACAGGCUCUGGGAUUGACCUUGAUUGGCAUCUGGGCCUUGAUGGAAACACCCCCUCAUUUUAAAAGUGUUCAUGCUCCUUGGUGUGGUAUUAAUAUGCAAUGUUGCAACUGUAUCUAAUGCUUACUGGUGUUGUUAACUAAAUGCGCUAUAUAGUUUGUGAUUCUCCUCUUUCUGGGCAAUAUGUCUGCCCUCCCGAUGUUUCCUAUAUAAGCUGCUAAUUUAAUUUGGUUUCUCCUUUUAUUUAGUCUGUGAUUUUGUUGUUGGUUUUUUUCUCCCUGCCCAUUGUUUACAUCAGUUUUUAAUUUUUUUGUAUUUUUCAUGUGACCUCCUCCACUUUCCUUUCAACCAAUCAUGUGCGUGCGUAUCAUGUGACUUUGUCAUGUGGCUUGCAUGGUGCUGAUGAUGUCGUCCACGCUGGUGAACAGAAGGUAAAAGCUCUUUGUUCUGAUUAGAGGAAUAAACCUGGAGCCACAGCCUGGCACGAAUUUUCUCCCUGUCUCCAAUAGAUACAGCAAAGACAUUUGAAAGAUUUGCUCUUGCCAUCAAUUCAUGUCUAGAAUUCAACAGUCCUUGCAACCUUGACAUGGCAAUUUGAUAACUUGACAGCCUUUAGUUUAAUAUUUUUCCCUCAAGAAAUCUGGUCAUACCAACUGCCCUCUCAGUAAAGCCAUGUUAGUCACAGCACAGUGGGGGAACUUGAAUUUUUAACAGACCUUCAUAAACAUUAUUUCCCAGAAAUAUGCUUUGAAAAUUAGCCUCUUUGCUUAAUUGUGUAUCCAGUAGCUCCAUCAACUACAAUUUCUGCAAAAUGUGUUACAACCCCUUUGGAAAUAUUUUGCAACCUUGAAAUGCUCCAGGAAGAGAGAGAGAUCCGUGCAAAGGUUGCUCUCCUGUAAAACCCGAGAGUGCUUCACGAGAUUUGCAUAAAUGGAGGACUUUUCUGAAGUGAGAAUUUGGAUUGAUGACUGAGGUGUCACUUCCCCAAAGUGGCCCUCCCCCAAGCAGGGGGCACAAAUCAAGCAAAAGUCACUUGGCAAUUAACAGUGACUGGAAGUCUCCGUGUAAUCAAGAAGCACAUGAUUGACCCUAC